rnacentral:lncRNA from 1 species
CAGCCACCUCUGACUUUGUGAGCUCAGGAUCACACAGCUAGAUUUGAACUCAGGGAAGAAUUUCUACACAUGCAGCAGAGUUUCCUUAACCCUGCAACCUCAUGAUGAAAAAAUUCACAACUCGCAAGAACCCUGCCUACCUCAACGACAGACUGGAUUUGGAGAAAUUAUAGGUUGCGAGAAUGUUAACUUCAGGUCCAAGUUUUCUCUCUUUUUUAAGGGCAGCAUUUAAAGUUCCCUUCUGAGACUCCAAACACAAACCUUUAAGAAGGGAAGUAAAGCAACUAAGGACCUCUGGAACUAGUUGCUCAGAUCAGCAUCAAGUUCCUCAGUAUUCAACUUGAAUUAAGUGCAGCCAUCAAUAAAACUAUAGAAAUGGGAAGGUUGCUGUUAUAA